rnacentral:rRNA from 1 species
AUUGAACGCUGGCGGCAUGCCUUACACAUGCAAGUCGAACGGCAGCACGGGAGCAAUCCUGGUGGCGAGUGGCGAACGGGUGAGUAAUAUAUCGGAACGUGCCCAGUCGUGGGGGAUAACGCAGCGAAAGCUGUGCUAAUACCGCAUACGAUCUACGGAUGAAAGCGGGGGAUCGCAAGACCUCGCGCGAUCGGAGCGGCCCAUAUCAGAAUAGCUAGUUGGUGGGGUAAAGGCCCACCAAGGCGACGAUCUGUAGCUGGUCUGAGAGGACGACCAGCCACACUGGAACUGGGACACGGUCCAGACUCCUACGGGAGGCAGCAGUGGGGAAUUUUGGACAAUGGGCGCAAGCCUGAUCCAACAAUGCCGCGUGCAGGAUGAAGGCCUUCGGGUUGUAAACUGCUUUUGUACGGAACGAAACGGCCCUUUCUAAUACAGGGGGCUAAUGACGGUACCGUAAGGAUAAGCACCGGCUAACUACGUGCCAGCCGCCGCCGUAAGAC